CCUGAUUGAUCCUGCGAGUAGUCAUAUGCUUCUCUCAAAGAUUAAGCCAUGCAUGUGUAAGUAUGAACAAAUUUAGACUGUGAAACACCGAAUGGCUCAUUAAAUCAGUUAUAGCUUGUUUUAUGGUAUCUACUACUUUGAUAACCGUACUAAUUGUUGAGCUAAUACAUCUAACAAACCCCGAGUUCUGGAAGGGAUACAUUUAUUAGAUAAAAGGUCGAUGCGGGCUCUGCUCGUUGCUGCGAUGAUUCAUGAUAACUCGAUGUAUCGCAUAGCCAUUGUGCCGGUGAAGCAUCAUUCAAAUUUCUGUCUGAUCAAGUUUUGAUGGUAGGAUAGUGGCCUACCAUGGUGGUGAUGGGUGACGGUGAAUUAGGGUUCAAUUUUUGAGAGGGAGCUUGAGAAACGGCUUCCACAUCCAAGGAAGGCAGCAGGCACGCAAAUUACCCAAUCAUGCCACGGGGAGGUAGUGCCAAUAAAUAACAACACCGGGCUCAAUGAUUCUGGUAAUUAGAAUGAGUAUAAUCUAAAUCCCUUAACGAGGAUCCAUUGAAGGGAGAGUCUGGUGCCAGCAGCCGCGGUAAUUCCAGCACCAAUAGCGUAUAUUUAAGUUGUUGCAGUUAAAAAGCUCGAAUUUGGACUUUGGGAUUUGCCGGUCGGUCCGCCUAUGGUGUGCAUUGUUCAUCUCAUCCCUUCUGUCGGCGAUGUGCUCCUGGCCUUAACUGGUCGGGUAGUGCCUCCGACGCUGUUACUUUGAAGAAUUUAGAGAGCUUAAAGCAAGUCUAUGCUCUGUAUACAUUGCAUGGGAUAACAUUAUAUGAUUUCGGUCUUAUUAUGUUGGCCUUCGGGAUCGGAGUAAUGAUUAACAGGGACAGUCGGGGGCAUUUGUAUUUCAUAGUCAGAGGUUAAAUUAUUGGAUUUAUGAAAUACGAACAAAUGCGAAAGCAUUUUCCAAGAAUGUUUUCAUUAAUCAAGAACGAGAGUUGGGGGCUCAAAGGCGAUCAGAUACUGUUCUAGUCUCAAUCAGAAAUGAUGCCGACCAGGGAUCGGUGGAUAUUGCUUUUAGGACUUCAUCGGCACCUUAUGAAAAAUCAAAGUUUUUUUGUUCGGGGGGGAAUAUGGUCGCAAGUCUCAAACUUACAGGAAUUGGUGGAAGGGCACUACCAGGAGUGGGGCCUGCGGCUUAAUAUAACUCAACACAGGGAAAAUUACCAGGACCAGACAUAGUAAGGAUUGACAGACUGAGAGCUCUUUCUUGAUUCUAUGGGUGGUAGUGCAUGGCCGUUCUUAGUUGGUGGAACGAUUUGUAUGGUUAAUUCCGUUAACGAACGAGACCUCAACCAUCUAACUAGCUAUGCAGAGGUAUACCUUCGCGGCCAGCUUCUUAGAGGGACUACGACAUUUUAGGCCACGGAAGUUUGAGGCAACAACAGGUCUGUGAUUCCCUUAGAUAUUCUGGGCCGCACGCACGCUACACUGAUGUAUUCAACGAGUUUAUAUCCUUGGACGACAGGCACGGGUAAUCUUUGAAAUUUCAUCAUGAUGGGGUUAGAUCAUUGCAAUUGUUGGUCUUCAACGAGGAAUUCCUAGCGAGCGUGAGUCAUCAGCUCGCGUUGACUACGUCCUUGCCCUUUGUACAUACCGUCCAUCACUCCUACCGAUUAAAUGAUCCGGUGAAAUGUUUGGAUCGCAGCGACGUGGGCGGUUCGCUGUCGAUGACAUCGCGAGAAGUCCACUGAACCUUAUCCUUUAGAGCAAGAAGAAUUCGUAACAAGGUUUCCGUAGGUGAACAUGCAGAUG
rnacentral:rRNA from 1 species